rnacentral:rRNA from 1 species
CCCGAAAGGUCGUGCACGCCCGAGUGCCCUCACACACAUCCAUCUCACCCCUAUGUGCACCACCGCGUGGGUCCCCCUUUGGCUUGUUCGGAGGGGGGCUUACGUUUUCACACAAACUUUGUAUGCAGUGUAGAAUGUAUUUUUUGUUUUUGCGAUCACGCAAUCAAUACAACUUUCAACAACGGAUCUCUUGGUUCUGGCAUCGAUGAAGAACGCAGCGAAAUGCGAUAAGUAAUGUGAAUUGCAGAAUUCAGUGAAUCAUCGAAUCUUUGAACGCACAUUGCGCCCCUUGGUAUUCCGGGGGGCAUGCCUGUUCGAGCGUCAUUUCAACCCUCAAGCUUAGCUUGGUAUUGAGUCUAUGUCAGCAAUGGCAGGCUCUAAAAUCAGUGGCAGCGCCGCUGGGUCCUGAACGUAGUAAUAUCUCUCGUUACAGGUUCUCGGUGUGCUUCUGCCAAAACCCAAAUUUUUCUAUGGUUGACCUCGGAUCAGGUAGGGAUACCCGCUGAACUUAAGCAUAUCAAUAAGCGGAGGAAAAGAAACCAACAGGGAUUACCUCAGUAACGGCGAGUGAAGCGGUAAAAGCUCAAAUUUGAAAUCUGGCUCUUUUAGAGUCCGAAUUGUAAUUUGUAGAAGAUGCUUCGGGUGUGGUUCCGGUCUAAGUUCCUUGGAACAGGACGUCAUAGA